UGUUAUUUUGAAUGGGCCUCAGCGAAAGUUCGAGCCCAAGGAAACUGUUUCACAAUUCAUCUUCUCUUCCCAUGUUAACGAAGCAGUGGAAAAGAAAAGGAAAUUGGUUAUUCUGAAACCGAAUCGAAGUAACGAAGGAAGCAGAAAAAGAUUCAAGAUGGUGAAAGUAGCAACGUACUUCGGCAUGUCCUUGGCAGCUUUCGUUUUCUGGCAAUCCAUGGACAAGGUCCAUGUCUGGAUCGCUCUUCGUCAGGACGAAAAGCAAGAGAGGUUGGAGAAGGAAGCGGAGAUCAGAAGGGUCAGAGAAGAGUUACUGCGGCAGCAAGCCAAUCAGAAGGAUUCUUCUUAUUGA